rnacentral:rRNA from 1 species
CGGAUCGGAGCUGNAACCCGACUCCGUGAAGCUGGAUUCGCUAGUAAUCGCGCAUCAGCCAUGGCGCGGUGAAUACGUUCCCGGGCCUUGUACACACCGCCCGUCAAGCCAUGGAAGCCGGGGGCGCUUGAAGUGCGUUGCCGCAAGGCGCGCCCUAGAGCGAAACCGGUGACUGGGGCUAAGUCGUAACAAGGUACC